GGGCGUGUUCCGGAUUCGACUGGGCGGAAAGGGGAGGGCGUAAGCAUACCGUAGCGCCGUGCUACGCAAAAAACGGCAAACUAAAUUUAUCUGCAGACAAUCAGAGUCUUGCUUUCGCUGCUUAAUUAGCGGCGGUGUCGCCCGCGGGUUUUCCCGUCGGUCCGCGCGUGCGGCAUCAUUUCAGACGGGCUACGGUCCGGACGUUUUCGUUGCGGCGUCCGAACGGCAUUCAGUAACGUACGGAAGGAAUUGUCGGCUUGCAGAUUGUUCUUUCAGGAGAUAAAAAGUUCAAGCUAAGUAUGUAGAAAUCCCUUCGAUUUUCGUUCAACACAGGAGUUCGACUCUCCUCACGUCCACCA
rnacentral:tmRNA from 1 species